rnacentral:misc_RNA from 1 species
AAUUUCGUGGUUCGCGGUAUUUCAACGCGCGUGUCUGACUGUUGUCAAUAGUGUUGUCAGUGACGUAUGGUGACAAAACUGGACUAACAAAACUCGGUGUUCGCUGUCACAUGAGCUAGGUGCAUUAGAGCGAAAUUUUGAAUCUAUUCAUCAAUUCCGUCCGAGGUUAGAGUUCGAACCGGCGUUGUUAUUCGUGAAUAAAUUACGCGUAGAAUAUUCUAAUCGAAAUGAUUGGUGCGGCCUGAAGCUGAUGAAACGGAGCUCGACACCAAAGAUCCAAAACCUGGCAGUAGACGGGUGUUCUCCGAAAAUGCUACGGAGGGUCCACGGCCUUGCUAAUCAUCAUUAAAUCAAUCGAUCAAGGUCAGUGACUGAUCGAUUGAUCGGCUGAUUUGCGCCCGCGGAGAUCAAACUGGUGCAAAAUGUCGUCGGAAAGCUCGCCCGAGGAGACAUCGAACGCCAUGACGAGGCUUAACAUCCGCUCGGACAGCGAAGAGGCCGAGGAACAACAAUCCGCCGAUGGUGGGGCAGAGCCGGCGGUUGAGUCGCCUCAGAACAUGCAAUCGUCCGGAGGCAUCGCCUACUCGCGGACGCGCCGGGCCCUCGCGAGGAUUGUUUGCGAAGAGGACCAGCCGUCUACUUCAGUCUCAAUCCCUCAGGUCAGGUGCUCAGAGCCUUCGACCUCCGCCGGUCCCUCUGACAGGUCAGUUCCUCGACGAAGCAGACCACCCAGCAAUUCUGUGAAUUCAUUCCACCUUGAAGCUCGACCACAAGGCAGUGUUGUAUUGGAAUCAGCUCCUCUUCAUCGACCUCCUGUGACUACUUACAACUGGCAGGGAACAAAAACCACAAUGCGCGAGCGAUUUUCUUUCUUGUUUAACAAUGAGAUAUUAUCGGAUGUGUCUUUCCUGGUUGGCCGGGGGGCUCAGCAGCAACGAAUUCCUGCACACAAGCUGGUAUUAGCUGCAGGCAGUGCCGUCUUCGAUGCAAUGUUCAACGGUACCUUGGCCACUUCUGCAUCUGAGAUAGAAGUACCAGAUAUUGAACCAGCUGCAUUUUUGGCUGUUCUGCUCUUCCUAUACACUGAUGAAAUACAAAUUGAUCCGGAGACUGUUAUGACGACCCUCUACACUGCUAAGAAAUACGCCGUCUCACCGCUAGAGAAACACUGUGUUGAUUUUCUCAGGAAUAAUCUAACCAGUGAUAAUGCCUUCCUUUUACUCACGCAGGCUCGGUUAUUCGACGAACCUCAGCUUGCUGCAGUAUGCCUCGACACUAUCGACAAGUUUACCACAGAUGCUUUCAAUGCGGAUGGAUUCACUGAUGUCGAUAUUGAUACACUCAUGGUUGUGCUAGAAAGAGACACCCUUCGCAUCAGGGAAUCUAAGAUUUUUCAUGCCGUUGUUAGGUGGUCAGAGGCAGAGUGUGCUCGGCAGCAGCUGCCAAUCACACCAGAGAAUCAACGCUCUGUUUUGGGGAGAGCGCUGUCAUUAGUUCGAUUUCCUCUGAUGUCAGUGGAGGAGUUUGCCGGUGGUCCUGCACAGUCCGGUCUUCUCACCGAUCGAGAGGUAGUUUCGGUAUUUUUAUACUUUACUGUUAAUCCCAAACCUUCGGUUGGAUUUGAGGCCAUGCCUCGUUGCUGCAUGAUGGGAAAGGAGCAGACGGUAUGCAGAUUUCAACAAACUGAGAAAAGAUGGGGAUACAGUGGGACCAGCGACAGAGUCAGUAAUCAGGGAAGAGUAGAGGAACUUUUAAUCUGUGAAAGUGAAAUAUUUACCAACUCGUCAAAGAAUGUCGCCUCAGUUCCACAAAACUUAUUCGUAUCCUGUUCUGAUGCGUAAGAAUAAAGUCCGGCGUCGUGCGAGCUCUGACUCACUGAUAUAAAUAAUUCUUUCGCAGUCGAGUACGAAUGUAAUAUAAAUUCAGCGUUGAUAGGCGAAUAUUCCUAGUCGGUUAUGGAGUCUACGGAAGUAUUCACGGGCCUGCAGAAUACGAUGUUAAGAUUGAACUGAUACACACAGCUUCAACCAAAGUUAUCGCGACAAAUCAUACCAGC